CGUCCUGGGCGCAGCUGAUGCAGCCAUGCCGCGUGCGUGAUGAAGCCUUCGGGUUGUAACUGCUUUUGUACGGACGAAGAGACUCUGGUUAAUACCUGGGGUCCUGACGGUACCGUGAGAAUAAGCACCGGCUACUACGUGCCAGCAGCCGCGGUAAAA
rnacentral:rRNA from 1 species